AUCAGUGAGUCAUCGAAUCUUUGAACGCACAUUGCGCCUCUCGGUAUUCCGGGAGGCACGCCUGUUCGAGCGCCAUUACAAACUCCAAGCGCAGGCUUGAUGUUGGACGAUGUCUGUCUGGGUGUUUGCCGGACGGACACGUCUGGAACGCGUUGGCGCCGCCGCCGGACCACGAGCGUAGCAAGACGCAAGUCACCUCGCAUCGAAUUGGUUCCGACGGCGGUCUUGCCUCGACCUUUGGAACCGGUGUGACCGGAGAAGAAGCAUCGACGAAAGUUUGGCCUCGGAUCAGGCGGGGAUACCCGCUGAACUUAAGCAUAUCAAUAAGCGGAGGAAAAAGAAACCAACCGGGAUUGCCCCAGUAACGGCGAGUGAAAGCGGCAAAAGCUCAAAUUUGAAAUCUGGAGCCUUCGGCUUCCGAGUUGUAAUUUGCAGAGGGAGCCUCGGAGGGCGGGUCGGUCCAAGUUCCUUGGAAGAGGAUACCGCAGAGGGUGAGAGUCCCGUAUGCGGCCGACUGCGCGCUCCGUGUGAGGCCCCUUCGACGAGUCGAGUUGUUUGGGAAUGCAGCUCCAAGCGGGUGGUAAAUUCCAUCUAAAGCUAAAUACCGGCCAGAGACCGAUAGCGAACAAGUAGAGUGAUCGAAAGAUGAAAAGCACUUUGAAAAGAGAGUGAAACAGUACGUGAAAUUGUUGAAAGGGAAGCGCAUGGGGGCAGACUUGGGCGCGGGGUUCAGCGUUUCUGUUUGGAGCGUGUACUUCCCCGCGUGCAGGCCAGCAUCGGUUCCGGGGGCCGGACAAAGGCGACGGGAAUGUGGCUCCCCUCGGGGAGUGUUAUAGCCCGGCGUGCAAUGCGGCCACCUGGGACCGAGGACCGCGCCUUGUGCAAGGAUGCUGGCGUAAUGGCCUCAUGCGGCCCGUCUGAACACGAC
rnacentral:rRNA from 1 species